rnacentral:rRNA from 1 species
AAAAAAGAUAUUAAGGGCCAUAGGUGGAUGCCUUGGCUAGUAGAGGCGAUGAAAGACGUACUAGGCUGCGAAAAGCCUCGGGGAGCUGCCAAGAAGCUUUGAUCCGGGGAUUUCUGAAUGGGGCGACCCAGCAUGGCGCGAGUCAUGUUACCCUACGGGGGGCGAACUCAGGGAAGUGAAACAUCUCAGUACCUGAAGGAAAAGAAAUCAAACGAGAUUCCCAUAGUAGCGGCGAGCGAAAAGGGAUUAGGGCACUUAGUGAUAAUAUAUUUGUUAGCUGAACACUUUGGAAAGAGUGAACAUAGAGGGUGAUAUUCCCGUAAGCGAAAACAUUUGUAUGGUACUAGACUGAGGAAUGAGUAGGUCGGGACACGUGUUAUCUUGACUGAAUAUGGGGGGACCACCCUCCAACCCUAAAUACUACUACUAGACCGAUAGCGAACAAGUACCGUGAGGGAAAGGUGAAAAGGACUGCGGUGAGCAGAGUGAAAUAGAACCUGAAACCUAUGGCUUACAAUCAUUCGGAGCACUAUUAUAUAUAAGUGUGACGGACUGCCUUUUGCAUAAUGAGCCUGCGAGUUGUGGUAUCUGGCAAGGUUAAUCGAACGAGAAGCCGUAGCGAAAGCGAGUCUUAAUAGGGCGAAUUAGUCAGAUGCUGCAGACCCGAAACUGAGUGAUCUAUCCAUGAGCAGGUUGAAGCUGGUGUAAGAGCCAGUGGAGGACCGAACCCGCUGGCGUUGAAAAGUCUUGGGAUGACUUGUGGAUAGGGGUGAAAGGCCAAUCAAACUCAGUGAUAGCUGGUUCUCUCCGAAAUAUAUUUAGGUAUAGCCUCGAGCAUUAGCAUGAAGGGGUAGAGCACUGACAGGGCUAGGGCUGCUUACCGCGGUACCAAACCCUAUCAAACUCCGAAUACUUCAUGUGUAACCUCGGGAGUCAGGCGGUGGGUGAUAAAAUCCAUCGUCAAGAGGGGAACAACCCAGACUAGCAGCUAAGGUCCCAAAGUCUUGUCUAAGUGGAAAAGGAUGUGAAGUUGCUGUGACAACCAGGAGGUUGGCUUAGAAGCAGCCACCCUUUAAAGAAAGCGUAACAGCUCACUGGUCUAGCGAUUUUGCGCCGAAAAUAUAACGGGGCUAAGACAAGCACCGAAGCUCUAGGUUAAGUUAUUAUUAUUUAGUACGCCAUUGGAACAAAGUCCCAAUAGCUACGUUAACACUGUGUUCGCUUCAGCAGCGGGCUCACGCGACUAGUCGCUUAAUCGCACUAGUGCGAUGGGCUUUCCGCCGAGGAAAACCUAGUGUUAACGUAGCUAGCGGAAUUACUUCCGAUAGCGUCUUAAUUAUAACUUAGCGGUAGGAGAGCGUUCCAGUCAGCGUAGAAGCCAUACCGGCAAGGAGUGGUGGAGCGGCUGGAAGUGAGCAUGCAGGCAUGAGUAGCGAGAAAAGAAGUGAGAAUCUUCUUCGCCGUAAACCCAAGGUUUCCUACGCGAUGCUCGUCAUCGUAGGGUUAGUCGGGACCUAAGUCGAGUCCGAGAGGGGUAGACGAUGGCAAAUCGGUUAAUAUUCCGAUACCGACUGUUGUUCGCUUGAGUGAUGGGGGGACGCAUAGAGUUAAUUGAGCUCACUGAUGGAAUAGUGGGUCGAAGGAUGUAGGUUGUAUCAUAGGCAAAUCCGUGAUACAUUAGACCGAGAUCUUACAGGCAGAGCAAUCUCUUCGGAGAGCGCUUUGAAUCAAUGAUACUGUCGUGCCGAGAAAAGCCUCUAAACGAGAACAGCAGUUGCCCGUACCGUAAACCGACACAGGUGGGUGAGAUGAGUAUUCUAAGGCGCGUGGAUGAACCCUGGUUAAGGAACUCUGCAAACUAGCACCGUAUCUUCGGUAUAAGGUGUGCCCUAUUUGUAAAUGGACUUGCUCCAUGAAGCAUUGACGGGUCGCAGCAAAGUGUCCCUCCCGACUGUUUACCAAAAACACAGCACUCUGCUAACUCGUAAGAGGAUGUAUAGGGUGUGACGCCUGCCCGGUGCUUGAAUGUUAAAUGGAUUGCUUAGCUCACGCGAAGGCUUGAAAUGAAGCACAAGUAAACGGCGGCCGUAACUAUAACGGUCCUAAGGUAGCGAAAUUCCUUGUCGGUUAAAUACCGACCUGCAUGAAUGGCGUAACGAGAUGGGAGCUGUCUCAACCAGGGAUCCAGUGAAAUUGUAGUGGAGGUGAAAAUUCCUCCUACCCGCGGAAAGACGGAAAGACCCCGUGCACCUUUACUAUAGCUUGACAUUGCUAUUGGGAUAUUCAUGUGCAGGAUAGGUGGGAGCCGUUGAAUCUAUGACGCCAGUUGUAGAUGAGGCAUCCUUGAGAUACCACCCUUGAAUAUUCUGAUAGCUAACUCGGUACGAUUAUCUCGUGCGAGGACAAUGUCUGGUGGGUAGUUUGACUGGGGCGGUCGCCUCCUAAAAAGUAACGGAGGCUUACAAAGGUUCGUUCAGAAGGGUUGGAAAUCCUUCGUAGAGUAUAAUGGCAUAAACGAGCCUGACUGUGAGAGAGACAACUCGAGCAGAGUCGAAAGACGGUCAUAGUGAUCCGGUGGUUCUGUGUGGAAGGGCCAUCGCUCAAAGGAUAAAAGGUACGCCGGGGAUAACAGGCUGAUCUCCCCCAAGAGCUCACAUCGACGGGGAGGUUUGGCACCUCGAUGUCGGCUCAUCGCAUCCUGGGGCUGGAGCAGGUCCCAAGGGUAUGGCUGUUCGCCAUUUAAAGCGGUACGCGAGCUGGGUUCAGAACGUCGUGAGACAGUUCGGUCCCUAUCUUCCGUGGGCGUAGGAGAGUUGAGGAGAGCUGACCCUAGUACGAGAGGACCGGGUUGGACAUGCCACUGGUGCACCAGUUGUUCUGCCAAGAGCAUCGCUGGGUAGCUACGCAUGGAUGAGAUAACCGCUGAAAGCAUCUAAGCGGGAAGCCAACUCCAAGAUGAACUCUCCCUGAAGUACGCUUGAAGACUACAAGCUUGAUAGGCUGGAUGUGUACGCAGAGUAAUCUGUUUAGCUGACCAGUACUAAUAGUACGUUUGUCUUUUUUA